UACGGAGGGUGCGAGCGUUAAUCAGAAUUACUGGGCGUAAAGCGUGCGUAGGUGGUUAAUUAAGUUAUCUGUGAAAUCCCUGGGCUCAACCUGGGCAGGUCAGAUAAAACUGAAUAACUCGAGUAUGGGAGAGGGUAGUGGAAUUUCCGGUGUAGCGGUGAAAUGCGUAGAGAUCGGAAGGAACACCAGUGGCGAAGGCGGCUACCUGGCCUAAUACUGACACUGAGGCACGAAAGCGUGGGGAGCAAACAGG
rnacentral:rRNA from 1 species